rnacentral:rRNA from 1 species
CCUACGGGUGGCUGCAGUGGGGAAUAUUGGACAAUGGGCGAAAGCCUGAUCCAGCCAUGCCGCGUGUGUGAAGAAGGCCUUCGGGUUGUAAAGCACUUUCAGUGGGGAAGAAAGCCUUGGGGCUAAUACCCUCGAGGAAGGACAUCACCCACAGAAGAAGCACCGGCUAACUCCGUGCCAGCAGCCGCGGUAAUACGGAGGGUGCGAGCGUUAAUCGGAAUUACUGGGCGUAAAGCGCGCGUAGGCGGUCUGAUAAGCCGGUUGUGAAAGCCCCGGGCUCAACCUGGGAACGGCAUCCGGAGCUGUAAGGCUAGAGUGCAGGAGAGGACGGUAGAAUGCCCGGUGUAGCGGUGAAAUGCGUAGAGAUCGGGAGGAAUACCAGUGGCGAAGGCGGCCUUCUGGACUGACACUGACGCUGAGGUGCGAAAGCGUGGGUAGCAAACAGGAUUAGAUACCCGAGUAGUC